UUCGCAAUGCCCGAAAGGGUGACGAAGCGACGCCGCGUGCGGGAAGAAGGCCUUCGGGUUGUAAACCGCUGUCGGGAGUUAAGAAAUGCAAGGAUAUUAAUAGUGUCUUUGCUUGACUAAGGCUCCGGAGGAAGCCACGGCUAACUCUGUGCCAGCAGCCGCGGUAAUACAGAGGCGGCAAGCGUUGUUCGGAAUUAUUGGGCGUAAAGAGCACGUAGGCGGCUAUGUAAGUCGGUUGUGAAAGCCUUCCGCUCAACGGGAGAACAGCAUCCGAUACUGCAUGGCUUGAGUGCGGGAGGGGAGAGUGGAACUUCUGGUGGAGCGGUGAAAUGCGUAGAUAUCAGAAGGAACGCCGGCGGCGAAAGCGGCUCUCUGGCCCGUAACUGACGCUGAGUGUGCGAAAGCUAGGGGAGCAAACGGGAUUAGAUACCCCGGUAGUCCUAGCCGUAAACGAUGGGCACUAAGUAGAGGGGUUUU
rnacentral:rRNA from 1 species